rnacentral:lncRNA from 1 species
UAGCUGGCCAACAGCUACCUACGCUGAUGGGCCAGAGGGGAGAUCGGUGAGCAGAAGCCUGUGGCUUUGAAAGGCAUUCACCCUUCAUUUGAAGAGAUGCUCUCAUCCCAACUCGGCGCUUUUGCUGUACAACGGGUAUAAAAUUCCAUCUCAGUACACAGAGUUAUUCUUGUAAGGAUAAAGCAACAGUUAAUGUGACCAUUUCUUUGGAAACGGUGACUGGUUAAUGUGUUAUUA